GAGGGGAAAACCAGCAACCUCCUCCUAGGGAGUUUAAUGAAAAUUAGCAGGUAAAAGAGGCCUCCCCAGCAGCACGCAGAAAAUCAAAGAGGGCGGCCGGAGGGCCGAAGGGUUCGGACUGCGGAGGAGAGCUACGUCCUCGGACCCCACCUCCCUUCACCUUCCCGGCAGGACGAAAAAGGCGAAGGCUCAUUAGUGCCUUCGUUAAUUGACACCUGUAAUGAGGAAACUUUCCGAGAGGUGGCAUUUAGAGACUUGGAACUCCGGAAGGAAAGCCCCAAGGAAUACUUGUUACUGGUUUAAAACAGUCAUGGUAGGGCUGAACCUGUGUUUGAGUCCUUGCCAGUGAAAUGUGAGCAGAAAUCUGCAGAGUGGAUCUUUUGGAAAGAAUUGCCCAUUACUAAUAAAAAAGGGACAAAUUCAGUAGUCCUCACCCUUA